AAUAUAUCAAGACGACCUUGGGAAUUUGUUGCUAAAAAUGUAUGGCCAGAUUUAUUGACUUCUUUUAACAAUCUGAGGAACAAAGUGGAGUGCAAGGAGCUGGAGAAAGUAAAAACAAAAUUGGUUGCUAGAUUUGGCAAAAUUCUUUUUUGUGGGACCAAUUCUGUGAACAUAGAACAAGUCAAAAAGGAUCCAGUUGCUGAAACCACUUUGGAACGAUUGAGGAGAACAUUUUAUACAAAUGUUCCUACUUCUUAUACGGAAAACAUUAUAAGUGGAGUUGUGCCAAAAAUAGGAGUUGAUUUUGAAGCAGAUAAGGAUGUAUACCAUAUCAAGGUAAAAGUUCUUCUAAACACCUGUCUAUUACAAUCAUGUUACUUGUACUUCAGAUGAUAUAGCUAUUGACUUAAAUUUCAUUGUCUAAGUG